rnacentral:rRNA from 1 species
UGUGAUGAAGGCCUUCGGGUUGUAAAGCACUUUUAGAUGUGACGAUGGAUGACGGUAACAUCAGAAAAAGCUCCGGCUAACUUCGUGC